CUACGUGCCAGCAGCCGCGGUAAUACGUAGGUGGCAAGCGUUGUCCGGAAUUAUUGGGCGUAAAGCGCGCGCAGGCGGAUUGGUCAGUCUGUCUUAAAAGUUCGGGGCUUAACUCCGUGAUGGGAUGGAAACUACCAAUCUAGAGUAUCGGAGAGGAAAGUGGAAUUCCUAGUGUAGCGGUGAAAUGCGUAGAUAUUAGGAAGAACACCAGUGGCGAAGGCGACUUUCUGGACGAAAACUGACGCUGAGGCGCGAAAGCCAGGGGAGCGAACGGGAUUAGAUACCCCGGUAGUCCUGGCCGUAAACGAUGGGUACUAGGUGUAGGAGGUAUCGACCCCUUCUGUGCCGGAGUUAACGCAAUAAGUACCCCGCCUGGGGAGUACGACCGCAAGGUUGAAACUCAAAGGAAUUGACGGGGGCCCGCACAAGCGGUGGAGUAUGUGGUUUAAUUCGACGCAACGCGAAGAACCUUACCAGGUCUUGACAUUGAUGGACAGAACUAGAGAUAG
rnacentral:rRNA from 1 species